rnacentral:rRNA from 1 species
AUUGAACGCUGGCGGCAGGCCUAACACAUGCAAGUCGAGCGGAUGAAGGGAGCUUGCUCCUGGAUUCAGCGGCGGACGGGUGAGUAAUGCCUAGGAAUCUGCCUGGUAGUGGGGGAUAACGUCCGGAAACGGGCGCUAAUACCGCAUACGUCCUGAGGGAGAAAGUGGGGGAUCUUCGGACCUCACGCUAUCAGAUGAGCCUAGGUCGGAUUAGCUAGUUGGUGGGGUAAAGGCCUACCAAGGCGACGAUCCGUAACUGGUCUGAGAGGAUGAUCAGUCACACUGGAACUGAGGAACGGUCCAGACUCCUACGGGAGGCAGCAGUGGGGAAUAUUGGGCCAUGGGCGAAAGCCUGAUUCAGCCAAGGCGCGUGUGUGAAGAAGGUCUUCGGAUUGUAAAGCCCUUUAAGUUGGGAGGAAGGGCAGUAAGUUAAUACCUUGCUGUUUUGACGUUACCAACAGAAUAAGCACCGGCUAACUUCGUG